GAAAUAUGAAAUUCAAGGAAAAGCUUCUAACUUUUACCUUUAGCAGUGAAAAUCUGUUAAUAUUUCU
rnacentral:tRNA from 1 species